rnacentral:rRNA from 1 species
AGAUUGAACGCUGGCGGCAUGCCUAACACAUGCAAGUCGAACGCGAAAGGGGGCAACCCUGAGUAGAGUGGCGGACGGGUGAGUAACGCAUCGGAAUUUACCCUGUCGUGGGGGAUAACCAAGGGAAACUUUGGCUAAUACCGCAUGAUCUGGAGACGGCAAAGCGGGGGACCUGCAAGGGCCUCGCGCGAUGGGAUGAGCCGAUGUCUGAUUAGCUAGUUGGUAGGGUAAAGGCCUACCAAGGCGACGAUCAGUAGCUGGUCUGAGAGGAUGAUCAGCCACACUGGGACUGAGACACGGCCCAGACUCCUACGGGAGGCAGCAGUGGGAAUAUUGGACAAUGGGGCAACCUGAUCCAGCAAUGCCGCGUGUGUGAAGAAGGCCUGCGGUUGUAAGCACGUUUGUCAGGAAGUAAGCACGUGGACUAAUACCGUUUGUAGUGCUGACGGUACCUGAAGAAGUAAGCACCGGCUAACUUCGU